rnacentral:lncRNA from 1 species
AGGGUUUCCUGGAGGGACCAGAGGAGCUCGGAGGCGAGCUGGUUCGCGGCGAGGUUGGAGAGGUCGUCGACGACGGAGGAGAGGCAGGAGGCGGCUGCGGCGACGGCGCACCACCGGCAGCGGAAGCAUCGCGCGGUGGUGGCAGAAAAGCCAACGACGAAGAAGAGGGAUGAGGAAGAAAGAGAGGAAGAAGAAGGGGAUAAAAUUGUCAAUUCAUUUAUUAAUUAACCAUGAUUAAGUAUUUUAACUGUGAUUAACGAAAAUUUUCUAACGGAAUCUAACGGCAGGGAUAUAUCUGAAUACAUUAGUACUUUUGCACGAAUAACUUAUAAAAAUUAAGUUUUACAUAAAUAUAUUUGUAAUUUACUAUAUUUGUAGGGAUGGGUAUACAAUUAACCCAAAAAGAAAAAUUAC